rnacentral:rRNA from 1 species
CGGCGGACGGGUGAGUAACGCGUGGGUAACCUGCCUCAUACAGGGGGAUAACAGUUAGAAAUGACUGCUAAUACCGCAUAAGACCACGGUACCGCAUGGUACAGUGGUAAAAACUCCGGUGGUAUGAGAUGGACCCGCGUCUGAUUAGGUAGUUGGUGGGGUAACGGCCUACCAAGCCGACGGUCAGUAGCCGACCUGAGAGGGUGACCGGCCACAUUGGGACUGAGACACGGCCCAG